rnacentral:rRNA from 1 species
AGAGUUUGAUCCUGGCUCAGGACGAACGCUGGCGGCGUGCUUAACACAUGCAAGUCGAACGGAAAGGCCCUGCUUUUGUGGGGUGCUCGAGUGGCGAACGGGUGAGUAACACGUGAGUAACCUGCCCUUGACUUUGGGAUAACUUCAGGAAACUGGGGCUAAUACCGGAUAGGAGCUCCUGCUGCAUGGUGGGGGUUGGAAAGUUUCGGCGGUUGGGGAUGGACUCGCGGCUUAUCAGCUUGUUGGUGGGGUAGUGGCUUACCAAGGCUUUGACGGGUAGCCGGCCUGAGAGGGUGACCGGCCACAUUGGGACUGAGAUACGGCCCAGACUCCUACGGGAGGCAGCAGUGGGGAAUAUUGCACAAUGGGCGGAAGCCUGAUGCAGCAACGCCGCGUGCGGGAUGACGGCCUUCGGGUUGUAAACCGCUUUCGCCUGUGACGAAGCGUGAGUGACGGUAAUGGGUAAAGAAGCACCGGCUAACCACGUG